rnacentral:rRNA from 1 species
GACGAACGCUGGCGGCGCGCUUAACACAUGCAAGUCGAGCGAGAACCAGUCCUUCGGGACUGGGGAAAGCGGCGAACGGGUGAGUAACACGUGGGUAAUCUGCCCUCGGCACUGGGAUAGCCCGGGGAAACCCGGAUUAAUACCGGAUAGCCUUUCGAGCCUUCGGGCUCGUCAGAACAGGUGGCUUCGGCUUCCGGCUGCGGAUGAGCCCGCGGCGGAUUAGCUUGUUGGUGGGGUAAUGGCCCACCAAGGCGACGAUCCGUAGCUGGUCUGAGAGGACGAUCAGCCACACUGGGACUGAGACACGGCCCAGACUCCUACGGGAGGCAGCAGUGGGGAAUCUUGCGCAAUGGGCGAAAGCCUGACGCAGCGACGCCGCGUGCGGGAAGAAGGCCUUCGGGUUGUAAACCGCUUUCAGGAGGGACGAAGCCACUCGGGUUAAUAGCCCAGAGGGUGACGGUACCUCCAGAAGAAGCCCCGGCUAACUACGUGCCAGCCGCCGCAGUAAAAC